GUCACACAAAAUUGCAGAUUUUAUCUAAUAGGGAUGACAAAGACUAUGUCAGAUAAUGGAGUAACUGUUUGAUAAAAAUUAAAACAAAUAAUUUGGCACAAUUAAGCAUAAUGUUUCCAGACGAAGUUAGAAGCUUAAUAUUCGUUUAUUGUGCAAGCUUUUAUUCAUUGGUUUCCGGUUCAGUUCAUAAUGCAACCCACACUAUUCAAUGCCUAAUAGAUAUGCUGAAUCAAUGUCCACCUAAUUCUUCAUGUGAUCAGGGCUCAUGUGUUUGUUUGCGCCAGUUCAAACAAAAUCCUGAAUACAACGAUCAUAAGAAAAACGAAUUUUGCAUUGAAAUAUCCAUAGAACAAUCUUCUAAUGGCAAUAAAUCAUUCACAUACGACAAAGUGUUUAGAGAAGCUCCAUCAGUACAUCAUAUAUUAGGCGGAAUUUUGAUUCCCAUAUGUGCAGUAAUAAUGAUCUUAGCCACUAUAAUUUUGGUUAAUAAAAUGCAGCCGAUGCAGAGGAUUCGCCAAUUACUUUUAUCAAAUCGUCCCAGAAGACCAGCGUACGAAGAUGUUGUAUUAGUAGGCUAUGAACAAUAAUUCCAAAGAUUGAUGGAAACUUGAAUAAGUUUUUUUUAUUGAAAGUGAACGUCAAGCAAGGCUUUAAUCGCCCCUUUAUUCCUACUAAGGCGUAGUUAUCACCAUAUCAUUUAUGUUCAAUCAAUUUUACUAAGUUCUGUAGUCAGAGUCCAUAUCUCAACAGGUAAAAAAUUAGCUCAAUACCGAAUAAUUCGAAAUUUCCGAAGUGUUAUAGUUUUAAAAUUUUCAACCAAUUGGCAAUAAACGACGGCGUGCUUAAGAAAAUAAUUAACUUCGAAAAUUUCGAAUUAUAAAUGUGCUAAUUAGUUGGCCAUUUUCAACCAGCCCGUCAAUUUCCGGCAAGCGCUUCCAAUAAUUUGAUAUUACGUACACGCAAAAUUCAACAUAUUUGUAGUUCUGUGUCAAAAUUUCAGCUCAAUUGAUCAUAACAAAACAUAGUUGCAACAUGCCAAAGUUGGCUGGUUUGUAUGAAAUUCGGCGUAUUGUGCUAAUUUAGAGGCCACCACCAGAUAUAUCUAGGAUAUCUAGAAUUAUAUUUUAUAUAUAUAUAUAUAUACUUAGAUUAUUUUGCCGAGAUUGGCACCACUGAGCAGGCUCGGCAUUUAUUUUUACUGAGAUCUCAGCAAAAUUUAUGUUUGUUAGCCGAGAUCUCGGCAAAAUUCCGGUUUGUUAACUGAAUCUCGGCCAAUUUUUCACUGAGAUGCAGCAAAAUAGAUUUCCGAGCUGCUCGGUGGUGCCCUAAUUUA